GAUGAACGCUGGCGGCGUGCCUAAUACAUGCCAGUCGAGCGAACGGACGAGAAGCUUGCUUCUCUGAUGUUAGCGGCGGACGGGUGAGUAACACGUGGAUAACCUACCUAUAAGACUGGGAUAACUUCGGGAAACCGGAGCUAAUACCGGAUGAUAUCUUGAACCGCAUGGUUCAAAAGUGAAAGACGGUCUUGCUGUCACUUAUAGAUGGAUCCGCGCUGCAUUAGCUAGUUGGUAAGGUAACGGCUUACCAAGGCAACGAUGCAUAGCCGACCUGAGAGGGUGAUCGGCCACACUGGAACUGAGACACGGUCCAGACUCCUACGGGAGGCAGCAGUAGGGAAUCUUCCGCAAUGGGCGAAAGCCUGACGGAGCAAUGCCGCGUGAGUGAUGAAGGUCUUCGGAUCGUAAAACUCUGUUAUUAGGGAAGAACAUAUGUGUAAGUAACUGUGCACAUCUUGACGGUACCUAAUCAGAAAGCCACGGCUAACUACGUG
rnacentral:rRNA from 1 species